rnacentral:lncRNA from 1 species
CCAUGUCUAAGUCAUAGAGUUUGUAUUAAGGUUGUAAAAGUGUAAUUUUCAUUUAUUGGAUCGAUCAUGUAGGAGAUUAUCGUUUGGUGAUUGCGAUGAUCUUCUUUUUAUUAUUUAUGAGUUGUGUACGAACUUUGUAAAUAUAUUUUGUCAUGAAAUCGCCAAAGGGGGAGAUUGUUAAGGAUUUUAUAGGUUGGCGGAUUUCGUAAUGUUGAAUGGAGUCUUGAAGAGUUGAUUGCAGAAGAUUGAAGAAAAGAUCUAAAUUGAAGGAAAA